GUGUCCUGCUGACUUCAAACUCCCACCCUAUGUGAACUUACCACUGUUGCCUCGGCGAGCUGCGCUACCCUGUAGCUACUUUUGUAGCGACCUGGGAGCGCGUUAUAGGCUCGCCAGAGGACCACUAAACUCUGUUUUAUUUGUAUCUCUGAAUCUUAUAACUGAAAUCAGUUAAAACUUUCAACAACGGAUCUCUUGGUUCUGGCAUCGAUGAAGAACGCAGCGAAAUGCGAUAAGUAAUGUGAAUUGCAGAAUUCAGUGAAUCAUCGAAUCUUUGAACGCACAUUGCGCCCAUUAGUAUUCUAGUGGGCAUGCCUAUUCGAGCGUCAUUUCAACCCUUAAGCCUCAGUAGCUUAGCGUUGGGAAUCUACAGGUUAUAGCGUAGUUCCUUAAAGGUAGUGGCGGAGUUAGAGCACACUCUAAGCGUAGUACUUAUUUCUCGCUUCUGGUAGUGGCUUUGGCGGCCGGCCGUGAAACCCCCUAUAUUUCUAAUGGUUGACCUCGGAUUAGGUAGGAAUACCCGCUGAACUUAAGCAUAUCAAAAGCCGGGAGGAA
rnacentral:rRNA from 1 species